CGGACACGCUGGCGGCGUGCUUAAAACAUGCAAGUCGAACGGACUUCUCAUGAAGCUUGCGAUUGAGAAGUUAGUGGCGGACGGGUGAGUAACGCGUGGGCAACCUGCCCCUGAGCCCGGGAUAACAGUUCGAAAGGACUGCUAAGACCGGAUAUACUUGCGGUGAAGCAUUUCACUGCAAGGAAAGGGAACGCUCAGGGAUGGGCCCGCGUCCCAUUAGCUAGUUGGUGAGGUAACGGCCCACCAAGGCGACGAUGGGUAGCCGGCCUGAGAGGGUGAACGGCCACACUGGGACUGAGACACGGCCCAGACUCCUACGGGAGGCAGCAGUUGGGAAUCUUCGGCAAUGGGCGCAAGCCUGACCGAGCAACGCCGCGUGAGUGAUGAAGGUUUUCGGAUUGUAAAGCUCUGUCUUCCGGGACGAUAAUGACGGUACCGGAGGAGGAAGCCACGGCUAACUACGUG
rnacentral:rRNA from 1 species